GUCGAACGGGCGUAGCAAUACGUCAGUGGCAGACGGGUGAGUAACGCGUGGGAACAUACCUCUUGGUUCGGAACAACACAGGGAAACUUGUGCUAAUACCGGAUAAGCCCUUACGGGGAAAGAUUUAUCGCCGAGAGAUUGGCCCGCGUCUGAUUAGCUAGUUGGUGGGGUAAAGGCCUACCAAGGCGACGAUCAGUAGCUGGUCUGAGAGGAUGAUCAGCCACAUUGGGACUGAGACACGGCCCAAACUCCUACGGGAGGCAGCAGUGGGGAAUAUUGGACAAUGGGCGCAAGCCUGAUCCAGCCAUGCCGCGUGAGUGAUGAAGGCCCUAGGGUUGUAAAGCUCUUUUGUACGGGAAGAUAAUGACGGUACCGUAAGAAUAAGCCCCGGCUAACUUCGUGCCAGCAGCCGCGGUAAUACGAAGGGGGCUAGCGUUGCUCGGAAUCACUGGGCGUAAAGGGUGCGUAGGCGGGUUUUUAAGUCAGAGGUGAAAUCCUGGAGCUCAACUCCAGAACUGCCUUUGAUACUGAAAGUCUUGAGUAUGGGAGAGGUGAGUGGAACUGC
rnacentral:rRNA from 1 species